rnacentral:rRNA from 1 species
UGAGGAAUAUUGGUCAAUGGGCGCAAGCCUGAACCAGCCAUCCCGCGUGAAGGAAGAAGGCGCUAUGCGUUGUAAACUUCUUUUCCAGGGGGAGAAUUUUUCCGUCGUGACGGGAAUUGACGGUACUCUGGGAAUAAGCAUCGGCUAACUCCGUGCCAGCAGCCGCGGUAAUACGGAGGAUGCGAGCGUUAUCCGGAUUUAUUGGGUCUAAAGGGUGCGUAGGCGGAUUGAUAAGUCAGUGGUGAAAGGCUGCAGCUUAACUGUAGACUUGCCGUUGAUACUGGCAGUCUUGAGUAUGGUCAAGGCAGGCGGAAUGUGUAAUGUAGCGGUGAAAUGCUUAGAUAUUACACAGAACACCGAUUGCGAAGGCAGCUUGCUGGGCCACCACUGACGCUCAUGCACGAAAGCGUGGAGAUCGAACAG